rnacentral:lncRNA from 1 species
UUGAGGGCGUGGCUCUCUGCAUUUCUAUCCUGCGGUCGUUACUAAAGUUGGUAUAACUAGAGAAGCAACAUUCAUCUAGAGCGUGUCUAACUUGAUGUUGUCGGUGUGUUUGACCCUAAAUUAAUUUUACGCCGGAAUAUCCCUUUAAAGCAUGCAUCAUUUUGUCCAACUUUUUAAUGCGAUGCAAAGAUUUAAGUCUCUUAAAUAAGGGUUACAAAACAUGACCUGACUUUCUGUAGUGAUAGGGUUUUUGGGCUUUUAUCUGUUUUUAAACUCUAGUGAUGUCGAGAUUCAAUGUGCUUCAGCAUCCAAUCAAAAAGUGAUAUUCGAUAAAGGGGCGUGUCUCUCAUUGCCUCUCUGAUUUCUCUCCUCUCUCCUCUCUCCUCUAUGCAGUAUUCAGGGCUCCGUAACACCACUUCAGGUUCACAAGAGGAUGGAGAAAACUGCAGUUGAGCGGUUCAGGAUACAGGGAAGUAGAAUUAAUAACGGUACUAAUCAAACCUUUUCAAAUCUCAUUCCUAGUCCAUCAUUUUUAGGGAUUAAUUGGGUGUAAAUCUGGAGUCAGUCAUGGACAAUCAGGUUUAAAACUGACCCAAAGAAAACAAUCAGACUUUCAUGAACAAACAACAUCAGAGACACAAACAGAAAAUAAGAUUAAAGUUCACAGUUUGUCCUUGAACGCAUCACAACCACAUGACUUUGCUCUGCAACAGAAAAGGAGGACAGGAGGUGACGGCUGCCUCUUCAGCCCGCAGUGAGGGGUUCAUGUCAGGCCGCUCCGAGGAGGAAGGGGGGAGGAGAUGGAGGAGGAGAUGGAGGAGGAGCAGGGUGACCUCCAAUUAGCCCUCUGUGAGGACAUGAAGGGAGGGGGUGAUGGGAGUGAGUGCAGCCAGGGUGAGGACGGGUGAGGAGGUGAUGCUAUCUCGUUAGCCUGCAGCUCAGAGGCAGGACGGGGUUCUGACAGGAGGAGCAGGUCGUGUUCGUCCGACCGUCGCUCAGCUGUAAAUCUGGGAGUCGCUCCGUCAGCGUCCAUGUUUGACUAAUGACGGAGAGAAAAGUUAGCGCCUGCUGUUUCCGGACAUUUAAACCAAAUUAAAAUCCUGCAAAUAAGAAAAAAAGUGAACAGUAUACAGUACCGUUCAAAAGUUUGGGGACACCCAAACAAUUUAGUGUUUUUCAUGAAAAAUCACACUAUUUUUAAUCAAAUGAAUAAAAAAUGAGUAGAAACUACGGUCAAGACAUCGAUAAGGUUAGAAAUUAUGAUUUUUAUUUGAAAUAAUAAAUUUCUUCUUAAAACUUUCCUCAAAGAAUGCUCCAUUUGCAGCAAUUACAGCCUCGCAGACCUUUGGCAUUCUAGCUGUUCAUUUGUUGAGGUAAUCUGGAGAAAUUUCACCCCACGCUUCCAGAAGCCCCUCCCACAAGUUAGAUUGGCUUGAUGGGCACUUUUUGAGUACCGUACAGUCAUGCUACUCGCACAACAGCUCAAUGGGGUUGAGAUCUGGUGACUCCAGUACAGACAGAAUACCAGCUGCCUGCUUCUUCCCUAAAUAGUCCUUCCAUAACUUGGAGGUGAUCUUUGGGUCAUGGUCCUGUUGUAGGAGGAAAUUGGCUCCAAUCUGUCCACAGGGUAUGGCAUGGGGUUACAAAACUUUACCAGCACCAAAGCAACCCCAGACCAUCACAUGACCUCCACCAUGUUUGACAGAUGGCGUCAGGCACUCUUCCAGCAACUUUUCAGUUGUUCUUCUGUGUGAUCCAAACACCUCUAACUUCGAUUCGUCCGUCCAUAACACUUUUUACCAAUCCUCCUCUGUCCAAUGUCUGUGUUCUUUUGCACAUAUGAAUCUUUGCCUUUUAUCGACUCGUCUCAGAUCUGGCUUUUUCUUUGUCACUCUGCCCUGAAGGCCAGCAUCCCGGGGUCGCCUCUUCACUGUAGACGUAGACACUGGCGUUUUGUGGGUACUAUUUAAUGAAGCUGCCAACUGAGGACCUGUGAGGCGUCUAUUUCUCAAAUUAGAGACUCUGAUGUACUUGUCCUCUUGCUCAGUUGUGCAGCGGGGUCUCCCGCUUCUCUUUCUACUCUGGUUAGAGCCUGUUUGUGCUGUUUUUUGAAGGGAAUAGUACACACCGUUGUAGGAAAUAUUCAGUUUCUUGGCAAUUUCUCACAUGGAAUAGCCGUCAUUUCUGAGAACAAGAAUAGACUCUCGGGGUUUCACAUAAAAGUUUCUUUUUCUGGCCAUUUUGAGAGUUUAAUCGAACCCACAAAUGUGAUGCUCCAGAUUCUCAACUAGCUCAAAGGAAGGUCAGUUUUAUAGCUUCUCUAACUAGCAAAACUGUUUUCAGCCGUGCUAACAUAAUUGCACAAGGGUUUUCUAAUCAUCCAUUAGCCGUCUAACGCAAUUA